rnacentral:rRNA from 1 species
AGUGAACGCUGGCGGUAGGCCUAACACAUGCAAGUCGAACGGCAGCACAGUAAGAGCUUGCUCUUACGGGUGGCGAGUGGCGGACGGGUGAGGAAUACAUCGGAAUCUACUUUUUCGUGGGGGAUAACGUAGGGAAACUUACGCUAAUACCGCAUACGACCUACGGGUGAAAGCAGGGGAUCUUCGGACCUUGCGCGAUUGAAUGAGCCGAUGUCGGAUUAGCUAGUUGGCGGGGUAAAGGCCCACCAAGGCGACGAUCCGUAGCUGGUCUGAGAGGAUGACCGGCCACAAGGGAACUGGGAAACGGGACAGACUCCGACGGGACGCAGCCGUGGGGAAUAUUGGACAAUGGGGGGAAGCCUGAUCCAGCCAUACCGCGUGGGUGAAGAAGGCCUGCGGGUUGUAAAGCCCGUUUGUUGGGAAAGAAAAGCAGCAGAUUAAAAACCCGCUGGUCUGACGGUACCCAAAGAAUAAGCACCGGCUAACUUCGUG